rnacentral:rRNA from 1 species
ACAUACCAAUUGUUGCCUCGGCGGAUCAGCCCGCUCCCGGUAAAACGGGACGGCCCGCCAGAGGACCCCUAAACUCUGUUUCUAUAUGUAACUUCUGAGUAAAACCAUAAAUAAAUCAAAACUUUCAACAACGGAUCUCUUGGUUCUGGCAUCGAUGAAGAACGCAGCAAAAUGCGAUAAGUAAUGUGAAUUGCAGAAUUCAGUGAAUCAUCGAAUCUUUGAACGCACAUUGCGCCCGCCAGUAUUCUGGCGGGCAUGCCUGUUCGAGCGUCAUUUCAACCCUCAAGCCCAGCUUGGUGUUGGGACUCGCGAGUCAAAUCGCGUUCCCCAAAUUGAUUGGCGGUCACGUCGAGCUUCCAUAGCGUAGUAGUAAAACCCUCGUUACUGGUAAUCGUCGCGGCCACGCCGUUAAACCCCAACUUCUGAAUGUUGACCUCGGAUCAGGUAGGAAUACCCGCUGAACUUAAGCAUAUC